ensembl:misc_RNA 7SK 7SK RNA
GGAUGUGAGGGAGGUCUGGCUCCAACAUUUGUCACCCCACUGAUCAUCAGGGUUGAUUUGGCUGAUCUGGUUGGCUGUGGUGUGCCUUUCCCCCCUCACCGCUCUUUCUGGUUAUACCCCUCCUGAAGCUGCAUGUUGGGCCAAAGAGGGUGACCUUCCUGGAAAGAGGAGGUUCAGUCUUCACUCAGGGGUAUCUGAGUAUCUGUGAUUCCCUGCUAGAAGCUGCAAAGAAACUCUUCAGUUCCAUUUGUAGGAGAAGUUAGAGUGGUCAAGCUUCAGAGACUCCAGACCCAUCCAGAUGAGGCGCUGCGUGUGAUAGUCUAUCUUU